GCUUGCAUCAUGAUUUACAUUUGAGUGAGUGGCGAACUGGUGAGUAACACGUGGGAAACCUGCCCAGAAGCGGGGGAUAACACCUGGAAACAGAUGCUAAUACCGCAUAACAACUUGGACCGCAUGGUCCGAGUUUGAAAGAUGGCUUCGGCUAUCACUUUUGGAUGGUCCCGCGGCGUAUUAGCUAGAUGGUGGGGUAACGGCUCACCAUGGCAAUGAUACGUAGCCGACCUGAGAGGGUAAUCGGCCACAUUGGGACUGAGACACGGCCCAAACUCCUACGGGAGGCAGCAGUAGGGAAUCUUCCACAAUGGACGAAAGUCUGAUGGAGCAACGCCGCGUGAGUGAAGAAGGGUUUCGGCUCGUAAAACUCUGUUGUUAAAGAAGAACAUAUCUGAGAGUAACUGUUCAGGUAUUGACGGUAUUUAACCAGAAAGCCACGGCUAACUACGUGCCAGCAGCCGCGGUAAUACGUAGGUGGCAAGCGUUGUCCGGAUUUAUUGGGCGUAAAGCGAGCGCAGGCGGUUUUUUAAGUCUGAUGUGAAAGCCUUCGGCUCAACCGAAGAAGUGCAUCGGAAACUGGGAAACUUGAGUGCAGAAGAGGACAGUGGAACUCCAUGUGUAGCGGUGAAAUGCGUAGAUAUAUGGAAGAACACCAGUGGCGAAGGCGGCUGUCUGGUCUGUAACUGACGCUGAGGCUCGAAAGUAUGGGUAGCAAACAGGAUUAGAUACCCUGGUAGUCCAUACCGUAAACGAUGAAUGCUAAGUGUUGGAGGGUUUCCGCCCUUCAGUGCUGCAGCUAACGCAUUAAGCAUUCCGCCUGGGGAGUACGGCCGCAAGGCUGAAACUCAAAGGAAUUGACGGGGGCCCGCACAAGCGGUGGAGCAUGUGGUUUAAUUCGAAGCUACGCGAAGAACCUUACCAGGUCUUGACAUACUAUGCAAAUCUAAGAGAUUAGACGUUCCCUUCGGGGACAUGGAUACAGGUGGUGCAUGGUUGUCGUCAGCUCGUGUCGUGAGAUGUUGGGUUAAGUCCCGCAACGAGCGCAACCCUUAUUAUCAGUUGCCAGCAUUAAGUUGGGCACUCUGGUGAGACUGCCGGUGACAAACCGGAGGAAGGUGGGGAUGACGUCAAAUCAUCAUGCCCCUUAUGACCUGGGCUACACACGUGCUACAAUGGAUGGUACAACGAGUUGCGAACUCGCGAGAGUAAGCUAAUCUCUUAAAGCCAUUCUCAGUUCGGAUUGUAGGCUGCAACUCGCCUACAUGAAGUCGGAAUCGCUAGUAAUCGCGGAUCAGCAUGCCGCGGUGAAUACGUUCCCGGGCCUUGUACACACCGCCCGUCACACCAUGAGAGUUUGUAACACCCAAAGUCGGUGGGGUA
rnacentral:rRNA from 1 species